ensembl:lncRNA
CAAAGAGGAACAUAAAGACAUUAUGAUGAGAAUCAUCACCAGGAUCAUUCUUCUGCUUCUCUGCUUCUGUCCUUCAUUGUGCACAAGAGUUCAGCAGGUUCCAUCAUCAAUAUUAGGAAGUAUUCAUGGUGAAACAAGAAUCAGCUGCAACCAUUCAGAGAGUACAUACAACGUAAUAUUGUGGUACCAGAAGCCAAGGGGUGACUCUGCUCUUAAACUGAUUGGAUAUAUUUUAUAUGGAAACCCAACCAUUGAGGAUGGAUUCCAAGAAUCUUUCAAAAUUAGUGGAGAUGGGCAGCUCUGUUCAUAUUCGUCACACCUUUGUUUUCAUCAAUGUAAGGAUCAUGAUCAGACUUAUCAUCCAUUUUGGAACGCUGUCGUUCUGUUUAACAGAAGUCCCAAAAUCUGGCGUUCAUCAGACUCCAGCUGCCCUCAUUAAGACCCCAGGAGAGGAAAUCCAAAUAAACUGC